rnacentral:lncRNA from 1 species
ACUGGACCAUCCUAUGGAAGAAGAAUGAUGACUGGCUACCUGUCCUCCAAAGGUAUCGGAGCAUCUGAGGGGCGCGUUGGUAGUGUCCUCAGACAUAUUAACAGGCCAUAUCAUGCAGAUCGUCAUCAGAGAUCAAGGAACUUAAAUCCAGUGCCAUACAGUGCCGAGUGCAUGGGUCACAAACUGCACUUAGAUCAAAAUGAAAAAAUGGUGAUGUUCGGGGUGACCCAUGUCCUUGCUGUUGACGGUUUCUCCAGUAAAAUUGUCAGCCAUUCCACUAUGCCUGUCAAAAAUAACCUGACCAUAUAUCAAGACGUGUACAGAAGUGCUGUCCUAUAGCACGGAAUGUGGGACCAAAUACGAGUGGACCACGGAAGAGAGUUUUUCUUAACUCUUUUCAUGCAGGAGAAAUUGGCAGGCUACAGAAAUAACACAGCAAGGGAGCCGUACCUGCAAACAUGGCUUAUUGUCCUCUUUCCCUUAAUCACUCAGCUGCUAGCUGAUAAUAUUGAUUUCUCUGUCAGCACAAUGGUAUGGUCAGAGCCCAGUAAGAAUAGUAUCGUUGCUGCAGCUGAUAGGGAUCUGAGUAAAUUCAAGUAAACUGUUCUUCUCUGAAAGACUGCUUGCUAUUUCCUCACCAGUCAAAGAUAUGCAUUAUUUGUCUAGCUGAUGCCACAAUAACUGUACAAAUACAAAUGCAUGAAAAAUCACCUAACUAAUUGGGUUCUUGAUUAUUGUUGUCAUAGAAAAAUGAUUUUUUUUCGAUGAUUACGAUAAGCUGCAGAUUGUUAUUGUCAUUAUUGAAAUUAAAUGUAACAUUUUGUUUUUACUCUUUUGAAAUUACAGAAUCAUAUCGUUGAAAGGAUGUGGCCAGAUGUUAAUAACAGGGUAAACUACCCUCUGAAAAGGGCUCUCAUCCACCUUGUAGACCAGGAGGAACUCAACAUGGAGGACAACUUGACAUGGUAUUGUGUGUCCACGCUUACCUGUCAGGUGGCUCAGAUUGGACUUGACCGGAUGGUGCAGUCCUGGAAUGCACACAGGAUCCAAGGCAAGGGCAUCCCAGAUCAACUGGCUCUGGGUGGAUGCCCAAAGAAGGCGCCAGCAGAUUGUCUGCCAGAGGCUGCAGGAGCUGCACACACUUACCUGCAGGAAGUGGGGUCCUCUUUGACACAAGUGUCAAUGUUUGGGAGAAACCCAUUCUCCACAGCUGAAAACCAGACAGUAGCUGAACAUGAAUUUGCACAGCAGUACAGCGACGUUUCGGAAUUCUAUAACCGCACCGUCAACUAUGAACCAACCCAUUUCCAAAAUGGAAUUAGGGAUCUUAUUGACAUUGUGAGAAGACAUGUGUAGCCUGAUCUGUCAGAUCGCAGAAGCCAUGCAGGGUCUGGCCUGGAGCUUUUUUUUUAUGUUCUAAUGUUGCGUUGUUAAUGUGUUAGACGGCUUAGAUGUUUUGUUAACCUGAUUAGUCUCUGUUCAAAUGAAAGUGUAAAAAAAAAAAAACGUCAAAUUUGUAAAUCCCCCAUACCGUUUAACUAUAAGACUUCUAUAAGAAUCUCCUCUUUGCAACAAUUCACGUAGUCAGUCAAUGAUCAAACUAGUAGCAUGAAUAUGAAUUACUGUCCGAGCUGGUUAGGCGAGGCAAGGCAGUUUUAUUUGUAUAGCCCGUUUUUACAAACAGUUUGUCUCAAAGGGCUUUACAUAGCAUGAGCAUCAUAAUAACAGCCUCUUCCCUUAAAACAUUGCAUCCACUGAGUAAAAACACCAUCGCAUCCACUGAGUAAAAACUCCCAGGAAAACCCGGGAAAAACGGGAAAAAUUGCAGUUGGUGCAGAGGGAUGGAGCUGUGGAGAAUCUGUGGAAGCACAGAGACUGCGAGACGCCACGGCCAAACUACAAGGUAAGAAAGGUGAGGCAGCGGGGGGGGGGGGGGGGGGGGGGGGGCUUAAAUUUAGUUAAGAGUGUGUGCCUCUGACCCAUGAAGAGAGCUGGUUCCAAAGUAAAGGAGCCCAGUAACAUCAAGGCUCUACUUCCCAGUCUGUGAGAUACUGGGAGUCACUAACAGACCUGCAUUCUGGGAGCCAAUAAAAACAUAAGGGAUAAGUCUCUGAAUGACUCAUUAUUGUGCAUUUAAAGAUGUAUAUUAUUACAUUGCAGCAUUAUUUGUGUUUUGUCCUGGAAUGACAAUACAAGCAUGAAUGUGCAUUUCAGAGAGAGUUUGCUGUGUAUUCCACCUGGCAUGUUAUGAGCAAAUUUAUAUAGGCUACUAAAGAUCCAUUUCAAAACAUGUUCCAAGUAGGCCAUAGGCCAAAGCAUAAUAUAUCCUGGAAUGAGUGAAGCUUGCCUGCUGAAAUGUUAAAAUGACUGUCACAACUACCAUGAGCAAAGAGAAAAAACAUUUGUUUAUAGUGUAGGCUACAGUAGCCUAUUCCUCAUAGCUCUCAGGCUGUGAGGAAAUCAACAUCCCGCGAUCGCAGCUCCUGUCAUGUGAACGCGCACAGAGCGCAAAGCUCAGAGCCGGACAAUGACCACCGUCGUCAUACCAUACUCUGACGGGGGCUUUAGGUUUUGUUGAGCCGAAUUAUGAACACAGAGCCUGGAAAUGUUGAGCCUCCGUCAUAGUAAAGCCCUCAGGUCUACUCUGCAUGUAUUAACUGUGGCUUUACAUCAACUGCACUGAAGUCAUCAUAACUUCAUAAGUUCUCAUUUUCAAAUUAUUAUGAAUACUAUUAUUGUUAUUUGAAGCCCUGUCAGUCUUGACUGUGGGUGGUGUGGUCCUCUGUGUCUGCUAGUGUCUAUAAUACAGUAAUAUUUUUGUCGACAUUAUCAAACGGAAGAACUUUUAUUAUGAAGAGCACAGGGCAAUGAAGCACGCUAGCCAAUAAGAGGACCCGCCCACCGGCGGAAACCAGAUAUUGAGUGGUAAACUCGUUUCGCUUAGUAAGAACCAAAAAACGAAUAAACGAACUGAAAUUUUGAUUUUCGUUUUCUUGUCAAAACGAAAAAACGAAAAAACGGCUUGUUUUCUGGUUUCUGCUCGCGUCAAUUAUUCCCAAAAAACAGAGUAGUAAAACGUACCUUGCUCGUGAAUGAGCAAGGUACGUUUUAUUACUCUGUUUUCUGGGAAUAAUUGACAGAAGCAGAAAGCAAAAACCAGCCGUUUUUUCGUUUUUUCGUUUUGUCCAAAAAAACGAAAAUCAAAAUUUAAGUUCGUUUAUUCGUUUUUUGGUUCUUCUUACCAAAACGAGUUUACCACUCAAUAUCUGGUUUCCGCCGGUGGGCGGGUCCUCUUGUUGGCUAGCGUGCUUCAUUGCCCUGUGCUCUUCAUAAUAAAAGUUCUUCCUUUUGAUAAUGUCGACAAAAAUAUUACUUUAUCAUAGACACUAGCAGACACAGAGGACCACACCACCCACAGUCAAG